rnacentral:rRNA from 1 species
GUGGGGAAUUUUGCGCAAUGGGCGAAAGCCUGACGCAGCGACGCCGCGUGGAGGAUGAAGGUCUUCGGAUUGUAAACUCCUUUUGCAGGGGACAAGAGAGGAUGGUACCCUGCGAAUAAGCCACGGCUAACUCUGUGCCAGCAGCCGCGGUAAGACAGAGGUGGCAAGCGUUGUUCGGAAUUACUGGGCUUAAAGGGCGCGUAGGUGGUGGUGUAAGUCCGGGGUGGAAGGCUGAGGCUUAACCUCAGGAUUGCCCUGGAAACUGUGUCACUUGAGUCAGCGAGGGGAUGGUAGAAUUCCUGGUGUAGCGGUGAAAUGCGUAGAUAUCAGGAGGAAGGCCGGUGGCGAAGGCGGCCAUCUGGCGCUGAACUGACACUGAGGCGCGAAAGCGUGGGGAGCAAACAGGAUUAGAAACCCGUGUAGUCC